rnacentral:rRNA from 1 species
GAUGAACGCUAGCGGCAGGCCUAAUACAUGCAAGUCGAGGGGCAGCGGGAGUAGCAAUACUUGCCGGCGACCGGCGCACGGGUGCGUAACACGUAUGUAAUCUACCCUUUACUGGAGAAUAGCCCGAAGAAAUUCGGAUUAAUGCUCCAUAAUAUCACUGGAAGGCAUCUUUUGGUGAUUAAAGUUCCGACGGUAAAGGAUGAGCAUGCGCGAUAUUAGCUAGUUGGUGAGGUAACGGCUCACCAAGGCGACGAUAUCUAGGGGUACUGAGAGGUUACACCCCCACACUGGUACUGAGACACGGACCAGACUCCUACGGGAGGCAGCAGUAAGGAAUAUUGGACAAUGGUCGCAAGACUGAUCCAGCCAUGCCGCGUGCAGGAUGAAUGCCCUAUGGGUUGUAAACUGCUUUUAUACGGGAAUAAACCCGGGUACGUGUACCCGGCUGAAUGUACCGUAAGAAUAAGGGUCGGCUAACUUCGUGCCAGCCGCCGCAGUAAUAC